CUAGUGACCGAUAGUGAACCAGUACCGUGAGGGAAAGGUGAAAAGUACCCCGGAAGGGGAGUGAAAGAGAACUUGAAACCGUGUGCUUACAAGUAGUCAGAGCCCGUUAAUGGGUGAUGGCGUGCCUUUUGUAGAAUGAACCGGCGAGUUACGAUCUGAUGCAAGGUUAAGCAGCAAAUGUGGAGCCGCAGCGAAAGCGAGUCUGAAUAGGGCGUUGAGUAUUUGGUCGUAGACCCGAAACCAGGUGAUCUACCCUUGGUCAGGUUGAAGUUCAGGUAACACUGAAUGGAGGACCGAACCGACUUACGUUGAAAAGUGAGCGGAUGAACUGAGGGUAGCGGAGAAAUUCCAAUCGAACUUGGAGAUAGCUGGUUCUCUCCGAAAUAGCUUUAGGGCUAGCCUCAAGUGAUGAUUAUUGGAGGUAGAGCACUGUUUGGACGAGGGGCCCCUCUCGGGUUACCGAAUUCAGACAAACUCCGAAUGCCAAUUAAUUUAACUUGGGAGUCAGAACAUGGGUGAUAAGGUCCGUGUUCGAAAGGGAAACAGCCCAGACCACCAGCUAAGGUCCCAAAAUAUAUGUUAAGUGGAAAAGGAUGUGGCGUUGCCCAGACAACUAGGAUGUUGGCUUAGAAGCAGCCAUCAUUUAAAGAGUGCGUAAUAGCUCACUAGUCGAGUGACACUGCGCCGAAAAUGUACCGGGGCUAAACAUAUUACCGAAGCUGUGGAUUGUCCUUUGGACAAUGGUAGGAGAGCGUUCUAAGGGCGUCGAAGCAUGAUCGCAAGGACAUGUGGAGCGCUUAGAAGUGAGAAUGCCGGUGUGAGUAGCGAAAGACGGGUGAGAAUCCCGUCCACCGAUUGACUAAGGUUUCCAGAGGAAGGCUCGUCCGCUCUGGGUUAGUCGGGUCCUAAGCUGAGGCCGACAGGCGUAGGCGAUGGAUAACAGGUUGAUAUUCCUGUACCACCUAGUAUCGUUUUAAUCGAUGGGGGGACGCAGUAGGAUAGGCGAAGCGUGCUGUUGGAGUGCACGUCCAAGCAGUAAGGCUGAGUGUUAGGCAAAUCCGGCACUCAUAAGGCUGAGCUGUGAUGGGGAGAGGAAAUUGUUUCCUCGAGUCGUUGAUUUCACACUGCCGAGAAAAGCCUCUAGAUAGAUAACAGGUGCCCGUACCGCAAACCGACACAGGUAGUCAAGAUGAGAAUUCUAAGGUGAGCGAGCGAACUCUCGUUAAGGAACUCGGCAAAAUGACCCCGUAACUUCGGGAGAAGGGGUGCUCUUUAGGGUUCACGCCCAGAAGAGCCGCAGUGAAUAGGCCCAAGCGACUGUUUAUCAAAAACACAGGUCUCUGCUAAACCGUAAGGUGAUGUAUAGGGGCUGACGCCUGCCCGGUGCUGGAAGGUUAAGAGGAGUG
rnacentral:rRNA from 1 species